CGGCGAGAUCUAUUUUGCGCACGCGCAAUCGCAAUAUGUGCCAUGGCUCGCUCUGUACUGAAAUGUUUAGCCGUGAGAAAGCAGAGACUGCUUCUCUGUCCUGUAAACUUAGCUAGGUCGCCAAUUGCUGCAGAGGAAUUCUCUCUGUUCAACAAGAAGAUGAAGCGUUCGAGAGAAAAAUCAUUUGUUGAUAUUCUAGAAUGAUUUGAAGAAGUUAGACGGACGCAGAUUUGUGAAAGCUAGUGAGAAGCUGUUGAGUUGUCGUUCUAAAGAGAAUAUUGAAGUUGGAGUUGAACUGAUUAAUUAAACGGCUCCGGUCUAGUCUGAGUAAAAUCCGAUUAAGUUAUGGUGCUGUUGCUCUGUGAGUUUGCUCUCGUGUCAGCUGUCCAUAAAUGGCACUUGAAAUGAUACAGAGCAAGAUUAGUUAUAGUGUGUUGUUUUCAAAGUCAGCUUAUAACUGCCUCGUUCAACGUGUCUGUUAUGAGAAAGAAUUUGGGAAAGCUGUUGAGACAUAUGAAUCUCUGCUGGAUGACGAGGAAGAGAUUUGGCUUAUGUGGAAAACGUUUCACUCUGCAGUGUAUGCUUGUUGCUUUCUUGUGAGCAGUUGAUUUCAAUGAGUUUAUGUUGUGUGCUAUAUUAUUGUUUGUUGUAUUAGGCUAAUAAUGGCAUGAGAAGAGCUUUGAAGCUGGGCAGUCUGAGUCGAAAGAUGAAUUGUUUCAUGGAAUGAUCCAGAUGUGUGCUUGGAAUAAUGAGCCUUCUAACAAAGGAAAUGAAUAUCCAAUAUUCACAGGCUCAAGCUGGAUUAGUGAUAAGAGCAUUGAUGAUGACGAAAGGCAAGUAUAAAGAGGCUGUGUGUGCUCUUGAGUCUUUACUAAACCAUUGGGACAAACUGGAAUUUUUACCUCACUCGAUAUUGGAUCUUGCAAAACUUGUGUAUGAGUCAGGCCAUUCUGAAAUUCAAGCACGUUGAAAAGAAGUUAUGGAUAAAUUUGCAAGUCUUGGUAAGAGAAUGCCAGAGCCUUUCAUUAGAAACAAGAGACGGUACGACAGAUGUGAAUAGAAUUGAACAAGAAAUGGUUAAUGAAGAAGAAACAGAGAGAUAAGCAGUUCCUACUUAACAAACAAUGAGCAAGCUUCUGUAAAGCAAACUGAAAGAUAAGUAGUAUUGGCAGUACCAAUAGUGAAGCUGCUGUUUAUGUAUUGUAGUAAUAAAUGUAUACAUGCAUCUGCA